UACCAGCUCUCCGAGUGGUAGGGAUGAUUAUUGGGCUUAAAGCGUCCGUAGCCGGCUUAGCAAGUCUCCUGUUAAAUUCAGCGACCUAAUCGUUGAGCCGCGGGAGAUACUACUAGGCUAGGAGGCGGGAGAGGUCAACGGUACUUCCGGGGUAGGGGUGAAAUCCUAUAAUCCCGGGAGGACCACCAGUGGCGAAGGCUGUUGACUAGAACGCGCUCGACGGUGAGGGACGAAAGCUGGGGGAGCGAACCGGAUUAGAUACCCGGGUAGUCCCAGCUGUAAACGAUGCGAGCUAGGUGUUGGGGUGGCUACGGUGCCACUUCAGUGCCGCAGGGAAGCCAUUAAGCUCGCCGCCUGGGGAGUACGGCCGCAAGGCUGAAACUUAAGGAAUUGGCGGGGAGCACCACAAGGCGUGAAGCUUGCGGUUC
rnacentral:rRNA from 1 species